rnacentral:rRNA from 1 species
AGAAUCAACGCUGGCGGCGUGCCUAACACAUGCAAGUCGAACGAGAAAGUGGAGCAAUCCAUGAGUAAAGUGGCGCACGGGUGAGUAACACGUGACUAACCUACCCUCGAGUGGGGAAUAACUUCGGGAAACCGAGGCUAAUACCGCAUAAAACCUAAGGGUCAAAGGAGCAAUCCGUUUGAGGAGGGGGUCGCGGCAGAUUAGUUAGUUGGCGGGGUAAUGGCCCACCAAGACGAUGAUCUGUAUCCGGCCUGAGAGGGCGCACGGACACACUGGAACUGAAACACGGUCCAGACUCCUACGGGAGGCAGCAGUGGGGAAUUUUGCGAAAUGGGGGAAACCCUGACGCAGCAACGCCGCGUGGAGGAUGAAAUCCCUUGGGAUGUAAACUCCUUUCGAUCGGGAAGAUAAUGACGGUACCGGAAGAAGAAGCCCCGGCUAACUUCGUGCCAGCAGCCGC